rnacentral:rRNA from 1 species
AAAUUGAAGAGUUUGAUCAUGGCUCAGAUUGAACGCUGGCGGCAGGCCUAACACAUGCAAGUCGAACGGUAACAGGAAGCAGCUUGCUGCUUUGCUGACGAGUGGCGGACGGGUGAGUAAUGUCUGGGAAACUGCCUGAUGGAGGGGGAUAACUACUGGAAACGGUAGCUAAUACCGCAUAACGUCGCAAGACCAAAGAGGGGGACCUUCGGGCCUCUUGCCAUCGGAUGUGCCCAGAUGGGAUUAGCUAGUAGGUGGGGUAAAGGCUCACCUAGGCGACGAUCCCUAGCUGGUCUGAGAGGAUGACCAGCCACACUGG